rnacentral:rRNA from 1 species
UACGAAGGGGGCUAGCGUUGCUCGGAAUCACUGGGCGUAAAGCGCACGUAGGCGGAUUGCUAAGUCAGGGGUGAAAUCCCGGAGCUCAACUCCAGAACUGCCUUUGAUACUGGCGGUCUCGAGUCCGGGAGAGGUGAGUGGAACUGCGAGUGUAGAGGUGAAAUUCGUAGAUAUUCGCAAGAACACCAGUGGCGAAGGCGGCUCACUGGCCCGGUACUGACGCUGAGGUGCGAAAGCGUGGGGAGCAAACAGG